rnacentral:rRNA from 1 species
CCCUUAGAUGUUCUGGGCUGCACGCGCGCUACACUGAAGGAAUCAGCACGUCUUUCUCCUUGUCCGAAAGGACUGGGUAACCCGCUGAACCUCCUUCGUGCUAGGGAUUGGGGCUUGUAAUUCUUCCCCAUGAACGAGGAAUUCCCAGUAAGCGCGAGUCAUAAGCUCGCGUUGAUUACGUCCCUGCCCUUUGUACACACCGCCCGUCGCUACUACCGAUUGGAUGGUUUAGUGAGAUCCUCGGAUUGGUCCCGGAGCGGCCUCUGGUCGUGCCGGAGUGCCGAAAAGAAUGUCGAACUUGAUCAUCUAGAGGAAGUAAAAGUCGUAACA